GUGGGGAAUCUUAGACAAUGGGCGCAAGCCUGAUCUAGCCAUGCCGCGUGAGCGAUGAAGGCCUUAGGGUUGUAAAGCUCUUUCGUGGGGGAAGAUAAUGACUGUACCCCAAGAAGAAGCCCCGGCUAACUCCGUGCCAGCAGCCGCGGUAAUACGGAGGGGGCUAGCGUUGUUCGGAAUUACUGGGCGUAAAGCGCACGUAGGCGGACUGGAAAGUCAGGGGUGAAAUACCGGGGCUCAACCCCGGAACUGCCUUUGAAGCUCCCAGUCUUGAGUUCGAGAGAGGUGAGUGGAAUUCCGAGUGUAGAGGUGAAAUUCGUAGAUAUUCGGAGGAACACCAGUGGCGAAGGCGGCUCACUGGCUCGAUACUGACGCUGAGGUGCGAAAGCGUGGGGAGCAAACAGGAUUAGAUACCCCAGUAGUCC
rnacentral:rRNA from 1 species